UACGAAGGGGGCUAGCGUUGCUCGGAAUUACUGGGCGUAAAGCGCACGUAGGCGGCUUCUUAAGUCGGUGGUGAAAUCCUGGAGCUCAACUCCAGAACUGCCUUCGAUACUGGGAAGCUCGAGUCCGGGAGAGGUGAGUGGAACUGCGAGUGUAGAGGUGAAAUUCGUAGAGAUGUGGAGGAAUACCGAUGGCGAAGGCAGCCCCCUGGGAUAACACUGACGCUCAUGCACGAAAGCGUGGGGAGCAAACAGG
rnacentral:rRNA from 1 species